rnacentral:rRNA from 1 species
CCUACGGGUGGCAGCAGUGAGGAAUAUUGGUCAAUGGGCGGAAGCCUGAACCAGCCAAGUCGCGUGAGGGAAUAAGGCCCUACGGGCCGUAAACUUCUUUUGCCGGGGAGCAAGGGCAGGGACGAGUCCCGGUCCGGAGAGUACCCGGAGAAAAAGCAUCGGCUAACUCCGUGCCAGCAGCCGCGGUAAUACGGAGGAUGCGUGCGUUAUCCGGAUUUAUUGGGUUAAAAGGGUGCGUAGGCGGGCUUUUAAGUCAGCGGUAAAAAUUCGGGGCUCAACCCCGGCCGGCCGUUGAAACUGGGGACCUUGAGUGGGCGAGAAGAAGGCGGAAUGCGUGGUGUAGCGGUGAAAUGCAUAGAUAUCACGCAGAACCCCGAUUGCGAAGGCAGCCUUCCGGCGCCCUACUGACGCUGAGGCACGAAAGUGCGGGGAUCGAACAGGAUUAGAUACCCUUGUAGUC